rnacentral:rRNA from 1 species
CCUACGGGAGGCAGCAGUGAGGAAUAUUGGUCAAUGGGCGCGAGCCUGAACCAGCCAAGUAGCGUGAAGGAUGACUGCCCUACUGGUUGUAAACCUCUUUUAUAAAGGAAUAAAGUAAGGUACGUGUGCCAUGAUGCAUGUACUUUAUGAAUAAGGAUCGGCUAACUCCGUGCCAGCAGCCGCGGUAAUACGGAGGAUCCGCGCGUUAUCCGGAUUUAUUGGGUUUAAAGGGUGCGUAGAUGGGUUGUUAAGUUAGGUGGGAAAGGUUGCGGCUUAACCGUAGAUUUGCAAUUAAUACUGUCAGUCUUGAGUACAGAUGAGGUAGGCGGAAUUCGUGGUGUAGCGGUGAAAUGCUUAGAUAUUACGAAGAACUCCGAUUGCGAAGGCAGCUUACUAGACUGCCACUGACGUUGAUGCACGAAAGCGUGGGUAGCAAACAGGAUUAGAUACCCUUGUAGUC